UACAGAGGUCUCAAGCGUUGUUCGGAUUCAUUGGGCGUAAAGGGUACGUAGGCGGCGCUGUUAGUCGGGUGUGAAAGCCCUCGGCUCAACCGAGGAAUUGCGCCCGAUACUGCAGUGCUUGAGGGAGACAGAGGUAAGCGGAACUGAUGGUGGAGCGGUGAAAUGCGUUGAUAUCAUCAGGAACACCAGUGGCGAAAGCGGCUUACUGGGUCUCUUCUGACGCUGAGGUACGAAAGCCAGGGGAGCGAAGGGG
rnacentral:rRNA from 1 species